GACGAACGCUGGCGGCGUGGAUUAGGCAUGCAAGUCGGACGGUAGAGCUUUAUCGUAAGAUAGAGUUUGAGAGUGGCGAACGGGUGAGUAACACGUAGGAAUCUACCCUUAAGACGGGGACAACCCAGGGAAACUUGGGCUAAUACCGGAUGAGAGUGCGAGAGAUUGCAUUUAAAAGGAUGGCGAAAGUUGUCGCUUAGGGAUGAGCCUGCGGUCUAUUAGUUAGUUGGUGAGGUAAGAGCUCACCAAGGCGAUGAUAGAUAGGCGGCCUUAACGGGUGGUCGCCCACACUGGGAUUGAGAUACGGCCCAGACUCCUACGGGAGGCAGCAGUGGGGAAUCUUAGACAAUGGGCGCAAGCCUGAUCUAGCCAUGCCGCGUGAGCGAUGAAGGCCUUAGGGUUGUAAAGCUCUUUCAGGGGGAAGAUAAUGACUGUACCCCCAGAAGAAGCCCCGGCUAACUCCGUG
rnacentral:rRNA from 1 species